UGAAGCUUCUGUCACUGGGUGACAACAGGCUGGGAGAUCCGGGGGUGAAACGUUUGUCUGAGGUGCUGGGGAACCCACAAUGUAAAUUACAGGAACUCGACCUGUACAGUAACGGUCUGACAGAUUCAUGCACAGAGUAUCUCUCCUCGGUUCUCAGAAAAAUGCGUUCACUGAAGGUUUUGGACUUGGGAGCAAACUCCUUCACAGACAAAUCUGCCCAGUCUUUCCGCAAGCUCAUAGAGAAGCGCAAAAGUUUGAAGCAGAUCACGUUGGUGGGGAAUCGGUUCACUGCAGAUGGACAGAAUCAGCUGAUGUCGCUGCGAGGAAUUAGACGUGGAAUGAGUAUCAAAUGUAGCAUUUAAGUUUCCCUGCAUGGGAACUGGUCGAUUUUCCGGACGGGCUUCGGGUUUAAACCCUAAUCUUUUCGGACAAAUUGCCAUGGACGGCGCAACAGUGAUUUCGAACUGGAAAUAUUUCCGUCAAGUAUUACACUGGUUUGUUGUGUGUUGCAUCGAAUCGGAUUAAAUUAACGACAAUACAUCAAGAAACGUCAGAAGAUUCUCGACACGGCAAGGGAUGUGCAAGCAGAUAACAUCCCAACGGUACCGUUCGUCGGGCCAGA